rnacentral:rRNA from 1 species
AGGGCGUAUGGGGAAUGCCUAGGCACACUCCGGCGAAGAAGGACGCAGCAAACAGCGAAAUGCGACGGUGAGCGGUAAGCACGUGAAGAGCCGUCGAUAUCCGAAUGGGGGAACCCACACGGAGUCAUAUCCGUGUAUCACAUGUCGAAUACAUAGACAUGAUGAGGCGAGACGCAGGGAACUGAAACAUCUAAGUACCUGCAGGAAGAGAAAAUAAGAAUGAUUUUCUGAGUAGCGGCGAGCGAAAGGGAAAGAGCCCAAACCGAUCUGAGGAUCGGGGUAGUAGGAUCAUCGAUAAAUCAAACAGAGGAUCAUAGAGGAAUCACAUGGGAAGGUGAGCGAGAGAGGGUGAGAGCCCCGUACUCGAAAUGAGAGACUGGAGAGAGAUGACACCUGAGUAGGGCGGGACACGAGAAAUCCUGUCUGAAUCAGCCGGGACCAUCCGGCAAGGCUAAAUACGAGAGAGUGACCGAUAGUGAACCAGUACCGUGAGGGAAAGGUGAAAAGAACCCCGGGAGGGGAGUGAAAGAGAACCUGAAACCAUAUGCCUACAAGAAGUCAGAGCCCGUUAAAGGGUGAUGGCGUGCCUUUUGUAGAAUGAACCGGCGAGUUACUGUAUGGAGCGAGGUUAAGCAGGAUAUGCGGAGCCGAAGCGAAAGCGAGUCUUAAGAGGGCGCGAGUUGCAUGCAGUAGACCCGAAACCGGGUGAUCUAGCCAUGACCAGGUUGAAGUUGGGGUAAAACCCGAUGGAGGACCGAACCGACCCCCGUUGAAACGUUGGCGGAUGAGUUGUGGCUAGGGGUGAAAUUCCAAUCGAACCCGGAGAUAGCUGGUUCUCCCCGAAAUAGCUUUAGGGCUAGCGUCGAGAGAAGAGUUGCGUGAAGGUAGAGCACUGAAUAUGUGAUGGCCCCAUCUCGGGGUACUGAGCAUAAUCAAACUGCGAAUGUCACGCCAACAUGCUCGGCAGUCAGACAGCGGGUGAUAAGGUCCGUUGUCAAGAGGGAAACAGCCCAGACCAUCAGCUAAGGUCCCAAAAUGUAUGCUAAGUGGAAAAGGAUGUGGAGAUGUACAGACAACUAGGAGGUUGGCUCAGAAGCAGCCAUCCUUUAAAGAGUGCGUAACAGCUCACUAGUCGAAUGACUCUGCGCCGAUAAUUUACCGGGGCUAAGCAUACUACCGAAGCUAUGGAUCCCAAGGGAUGGUAGGGGAGCGUUCCAUGAACGGAGAAGUACGACCGAAAGGACGUGUGGAGAUCAUGGAAGAGAGAAUGCCGGUGUGAGUAGCGGAACGUGGGUGAGAAUCCCACGCACCGAAAACCCAAGGUUUCCAGAGGAAGGUUCGUCCGCUCUGGGUAAGUCGGGACCUAAGGCGAGGCCGAAAGGCGUAGUCGAUGGACAACAGGUAGAGAUUCCUGUACCCGUAUAUAUGUGAAGGAAUGACGGAGAGAGGAAGCUGCAGCCAGCGGCUGGAAGAGCUGGUGCAAGCGAGAUAUCGGGAUGGCAGGCAAAUCCACCAUCCGAAACGAGAAGGCGUGAAGCGUACGGAAAGCUACGGCGAGUACGGAAGGCAGUGGAGGAACUUCCAAGAAAAGUUUCUAACGUUAAGUAUAUAUGGCCCGUACCGAAAAUGGACACACAUGGGUGAGGAGAGAAUCCUAAGGUGAGCGAGAGAACUAUAGCUAAGGAACUCUGCAAAAUGACUCCGUAACUUAGGGAGAAGGAGUGCUCAUAGAGAUAUGAGCCGCAGUGAAACGGCCCAAGCGACUGUUUACCAAAAACACAGCUCUCUGCUAAGCCGCAAGGCGAAGUAUAGGGGGUGACGCCUGCCCGGUGCUGGAAGGUUAAGGGGAGGGGUUAACGCAAGUGAAGCCCUGAACUGAAGCCCCAGUAAACGGCGGCCGUAACUAUAACGGUCCUAAGGUAGCGAAAUUCCUUGUCAGGUAAGUUCUGACCCGCACGAAAGGUGUAACGAUUUGAGCACUGUCUCGACAACACGCCCGGUGAAAUUGAAGAACCAGUGAAGAUACUGGUUACCCGCAACAGGACGGAAAGACCCCAUGGAGCUUUACUGCAGCUUAAUAUUGGGAUUCGGUAUUGUAUGUACAGGAUAGGAGGGAGACUAAGAAGCUAGCACGCCAGUGUUGGUGGAGUCGAUGGUGUCCAGACAGAGCAGGCGGCUCCCCACCAGACAGCCGGCCAGGUGGCCGGACAGCUCCCCCUCCCGCACCCGGUCGGGGGCGGACUCCAGGCGGUAGCCCCGGUUGGGGGCGGAGGAGAUCACAUACCCCUCCUGCCGCAGGGCCUCAAUGGCCUUCCACACCGCCGCCCGGCUGAUGCCCAGCGUCCGGCUCAUGGCCUCUCCUGACACAUAAGAAUCCCCCUGUUCCAGCAGAAGGGACAGUAUUUUUUCCCGGCUCAUUCCACGCCGCCUCCCGGUCCUCGUUUUUCUCCAUUAUAAUGCGUACUGAACAAACCGCAAGGGCGGUUUCUUCGGCAAGCAAGAAAACAGAGAGACUGUAGGGAGAUGGUCGGGCCGUGAACGCCGAGUAUAUUACCAGCCGGAAAAAUCCG